AUACGGGGGGUGCAAGCGUUAAUCGGAAUUACUGGGCGUAAAGCGCGCGUAGGCGGUUUGCUCAGUCGGAUGUGAAAGCCCAGGGCUCAACCUUGGAACUGCAUACGAUACUGGCAAACUAGAGUGUGAGAGAGGAUAGUGGAAUUUCCGGUGUAGCGGUGAAAUGCGUAGAUAUCUGAAGGAACAUCAGUGGCGAAGGCGACUGUCUGGCUCAACACUGACGCUGAGGUGCGAAAGCGUGGGUAGCAAACAGGAUUAGAAACCCUUGUAGUCC
rnacentral:rRNA from 1 species